AUGUUUACUUUUCCCUUCAUGUGGGAUAAAAAACAUUUGAUGACGACUUCAUUGUUUGAUGAUUUCCAGCUGGUUGUUUCACCAGCCACCCUCCAUCUAUGUGCCAAUACAAUGAUAAUGGUGUUGCACGCAGGUUUCAACAUAUGUUGCGGCCAAUUAGCGAUUGAGGUCAAUCAAUCGCCGCUUACGCACCCCAGAAUUUCUGUUAGAUCCCUCCACUGCCACAUCUAUCAUAUACGAUCAUAUUAA